GUCGCACGAGAAAGUGGAGCAAUCCAUGAGUACAGUGGCGUACGGGUGAGUAACACGUGGAUCAUCUACCUCUUAGUGGGGAAUAACCCUGGGAAACCGGGGCUAAUACCGCAUAAGCUCGAGAGAGGAAAGCAGCAAUGCGCUGAGAGAGGAGUCCGCGGCCGAUUAGCUAGUUGGCAGGGUAAACGCCUACCAAGGCAAAGAUCGGUAGCCGGCCUGAGAGGGCACACGGCCACACUGGCACUGAAACACGGGCCAGACUCCUACGGGAGGCAGCAGUGGGGAAUCUUGCACAAUGGGGGAAACCCUGAUGCAGCGACGCCGCGUGAGCGAUGAAGCCCUUCGGGGUGUAAAGCUCUUUCGGCAGGGACGAUCAUGACGGUACCUGCAGAAGCAGCUGCGGCUAACUACGUGCCAGCAGCCGCGGUAAUACGUAGGCAGCGAGCGUUGUUCGGAGUUACUGGGCGUAAAGGGUGUGUAGGCGGUUGCUUAAGUUUGGUGUGAAAUCUCCCGGCUCAACUGGGAGGGUGCGCCGAAUACUGAGUGACUCGAGUGCGGGAGAGGAGAGUGGAAUUCCUGGUGUAGCGGUGAAAUGCGUAGAUAUCAGGAGGAACACCGGCGGUGUAGACGGCUCUCUGGACCGUAACUGACGCUGAGACACGAAAGCGUGGGUAGCAAACAGGAUUAGAUACCCUGGUAGUCCACGCCCUA
rnacentral:rRNA from 1 species